CACAUAAAUGUCCAAUAAUCACAACCUCUCGUACUCCAAAUAUGGACUUCAUACCCGAUAAUGUAAGAUGAACUUCUCGAAGCCGAGUUAAAAUCUUUUCACAAUCUUGUAUAUGAUCAACAACAUAUUUGCGACACCCCCUCGUAUCUAAAGUUUCAUCCUUGUCUCCUUCUCUGCACCCUUUUAUAGGAACAUCAUCCAAAAAAGGCAUAGU
rnacentral:lncRNA from 1 species